GAUAAGUACAGAUUCAAGAAAAAGGGAAAUGAUGGACGUAUUCAAUAAAUUCUUUGAUAAUCGAAAACUAAAAUAUGACAGAAAUAUUGUAGAAUAUAUAAAAAUAGCGAUAAAAAGGAAACCUCAAAGUCUAAUAAUCCGAAGCAUUAUCCUAAUUACUGAAGUCUUUGAAUGUUCGGUCGGACAUACAUAUCUCUAUUGAUAAGCACGUCGAACGUCUCCAUCUCUUUCUCUUUGCACUGUUAAUUGGCAGCGAUGAAGAGCACAGACUCCUUCGUUUCUCCGUAUAUCCGUCGUCAUUGAAAAGAAACGAGGUCUUUGGCUGGUGCCGUCAGCAUCGAUGCUACUGCUGCUGCAGUGGGUUUCAAGUUUCGAGGUAGGCCGAGUGUCGACCAGGUGGAUGACCGCAGGUCGUUCGCAAGGGUUGAUGACUCGGCCGAAGGAAAAAUCCGGAAACGAGGGUGGAAGGCCCGGCAUAGUCGGCCGCCAUGGGUAAGUGCGUACGAGAGAGAAUGCGAGAGAAAAUAUACGUAUACGUAUAUAGGCAGAUACGUGUAUAUACCAAGACACGAGUUGAUGCAAACGUUGGGAGACUCUCGUAGAGUCGCCUCGAUCGGCGCUGCCUCCGCAUGGCACGCCAGAAAGACUGAGAGAGAAAGAUAGAGAACAGUUUUGCUGUCUCUUUUCUUCUCUCGUUACUCGUUUCGUCUCUCUCGGUCGGGCGAGUGCUCGGUCGGUCGGUCGGUCGGUCGGUCGCGCGUUUGCUAGCUACCUAGCUAGCUAGCUAGCUCGCUUUCUUUCAUCCCCCCAGAAGGAUGAUCCUCGACGGGGUGGAGCCACCCACGCCCACGCAGGCCAAGCAUAGGCCUACCCCAACGUAACUCGCAGAAGGCGAACCACGUGUGCAACGCUUUUCAUGGUUAGACGAGCUCUCGAUGUCAUCGUUGCCGACGACAGUGACGACGAUGAAGGAGUUGACCUGAUGGAUAAGGAGGAGGUGGGAAUAAGGUCAGGUCUAGUGGACACGGAGAUCGUGUCUAGCUUUGUGCUUCGAGUUUGAGGUGUCUCCGUUAAUCUAUGGGAGAUGUAUGAUGGAUGGUAGCUUUUUUAGUUUGAGACGAAUUGUUUUGACAAUGAACUACGUUUAUGAAUUAAUUAAAGAUAUUAGCUUAUCAAUUGAGUUUCUACUUCAAGUAAAGCGUUAAGAAAAAUAUUCAAUUGAUUGUAUUUGAUCGAUUAAAUACCAACUAUAAACAUUGAAUAUAUUAUCAAUUAUCGCGACUAUGACUUUAUAAUUUUCUAAGAACUCUAUAAUCAAUAGAUAAACUAUAAAACUGUUUGAGAAAUAAUCGAUUAAUAAUGAUCAAUCAAUUCGAUGAAUUAUAUCAGAAAAGAUAAAUACAAAACCCAAGACUUGAAUAUUUCCCCAGACAGAGAAAACUAAUCGAAUUAAUAACGCCAUAUUAAACGCAGGAAAAGAGUUGAAGUUUGAAAAGCAUGUAAAAGGACAUAACGCACGGGGUCGUGCCACCUGUCUUUCGAAGUACUCUACUCGGUACGCUUCUAGCAUAAUGGAGAAAGCAAGAGAGAGGGAGGGAAAGAGAGAGGGGAGAGAGAGAGAAAGGAGCAAGACAGGCUCUCGUCGUACAAUGCCGGUUGGUAUCGAGUCCGAGAGACGAAGAGAAGAGCCGACAGGAAAUGCGAAGGGGCAAGGAGGACGUAUAGAAGAAGAAGAAGAAGAAGAAGAAGAAGCACAUCAUGGCCCAAGCUACUCCGCGGUAUUCCGCGAAGGCCGAUCUUCGAAAGACGAAGGGAGUAACGUGCUCGUAGGAUCGCAGACUUACGUACGAGUUUCAUUGAAAUUCGCAUGAUGCCUCGAAAACGAGAGAAGGCGUGGCUCGAACUAUCUUUUCCGACGCGAUGUCUCUUACACUCUUAAACGUUCCUUGCGCAUUGCAUUUUCUCUUUCUAUUAGAAUAUUAAGCCUAUCAAAAAGGUUUACUUUUUCAACGAAAGGAAUUUCAAAGUUUUCACAAAAAUACGAAGGAAACUUUUAAUUGCAUUAGCAAAAAUAGCUAAAAUAU